UGAAGCCAGUGAAGUUCCUCAUUGGCUAUCUAAAACUAUCAUUUGAUGGCACGUUCAUCACAAGGUUCAUCCGAAACACUGCCAGGGAUGUCUCCUUCAUGAGGCAAGGAAAUGGGUCUGAUGACUGUGUGCAGAUUGUAUUUGAGAAUGCUGAACAGUCUGGACAAAACUCUGUGUCAUUUGUGUUGCCUGCUUGAAGAAGACAACAGUGGUCUCACUUUGCUUACUUGGAUUCAGUAACUCAUAUAAACCUAUGCUACAUGGCCAACUGGUUAGAUAUUUUCUCUAAUGUGUAACACAAUUAAACCUCUUGUUAGUAUUUUCUAAUAAAUCCUCUAAUCUUA